UACAGAGGGUGCAAGCGUUGUUCGGAAUUACUGGGCGUAAAGCGAGUGUAGGCGGUCUGAAAAGUCGGGUGUGAAAGCCCUGGGCUCAACCCAGGAAGUGCACUCGAAACUGCCAGGCUAGAGUAUCGGAGAGGUUGGUGGAAUUCUCGGUGUAGAGGUGAAAUUCGUAGAUAUCGAGAGGAACACCGGUGGCGAAGGCGGCCAACUGGACGAAUACUGACGCUGAGACUCGAAAGCGUGGGGAGCAAACAGG
rnacentral:rRNA from 1 species